ACUUCUUAGUCAAGUCCGGGCUAAUUGGGGAGGGGGUAGAGCUAAGUUGGGGUGUGUGUGAGUGAGUGUGUGCAAGAGUUCGCCCUGUCCUCUCUGGCCGCCAGCCCCUCGCUCGCUUGCUCCAUCGUCUAAAGUGUUAAAAAAAAAAAAAAAAAAAAAGCUCUUGGGUCCCACGAUAAGAGCGCAUAAAGAGGAGAGGUACAAUGACCGUCCUCUGCCAUUGUAGGAGUCCUAAUUUAUGCAUCUUUAGCCUCUUAAGCAUCAUUUUGCGGGCAACCAAACGGGCACUUCCAAAUUAGCUCAAAGUAUCCAAAUCCAAAGAAGAGAGAAAACACACACAUAGAGACACUCACAAACACACAGAUGCUAACUUGUAAGUAUUCUGGGUUUUUUUCUUCCUCUGUGGGAAUGGAGGGUGGAUACGGGGAAGAGGGUAUGUUUUUAUUUGCGAUCAUGUUUUCUGCUCAGUUUUUACCUGGAAAGUUCUUUUCAGUUUUCUUUCCGUCUGCUUUUUUUUUUUUUUUUUUCCUCGUUCUCUCUAAAGAAAGUAAAUAUCAAACUGAGGAAUUCAGGCUCCUAGCACUGCCAUGAUCAAGAAGAGGAGACGGGAAAACCCUGAAAUUUCAAGUAUUUCUAGCUGUUUGAUAUGGGUUUUUUUGUUGUUGUUAGAAAAAUGUAACCUGUUCAAGGAAUGUGAAAUGGUUGCAUAAAUCAGGUGAAAAUGGUAGCUUCUUGUGAAAAUACAAAACCAUAGAUAAACCGACUUUCAUCUUUUGACUUGCAAAUUUACCUAUAUAGCAAAGAAAAGCAUAGAUAUUGUGCAAUCUCCACCAAAUGCUCAACACUCUGAGGAAUAAGACAAAAGAAAUGUGCCAACCUUACUAAAUUUUGAGAGUAAUCUUGCAAUAAAAACAAUGAUAAUGGGGACACAAAAACAGGAUUUUUAAGUUUUUCUGGAGACUGAGACAGGAGAAAGAAACACUAGGAGAGUGCUUUUUUAAAGCAGGAUUUUAUUUUUUUUUUAAACUAAAGGAUGUGUGAAAAUGAUUUCCGCUUAACCUACCAGUACAUGUUUUAAAGGCAAGAACAGUGUUACUUAUUCCUUUCUGUUUGAUUUCAGUUACUCGGUUGGAAUAUCCUCUGUGGUUUUGCCCUUAUUGUUUUUUAAACAGUUUUGUUCCUUUCAGUGUAGUUUUGUAAGGAAUCUGUUUUUUUCUCUGGUGAGGGUAGAGGAAGGGACCACUAUAGUCACCUGUGGGGAGAGAGUGUCAACUAGGCAGGGGCAAGAAGUAAUAUUUUAAAAGGCAAAAAUAACAAAAUAUACAAAUUGCCUGUAGAGAGUUCAGUUAUUGACUUAGUGAGGUUAGCAUUGCCACAAUUUUAACACGCUGUUACUUUUACAGGUCUUUCUGGCACUUGAAACGCUUGCGGGAUUUUCAAAUAUCAUCUUCGCAUUUGGGAAGAAAUAAAGAAACAUGUCAAGAUACUACCAUUUUGAAGCAAAAUUUGAGGUUAAAAAGAGGAAGCAGCUACAAUAGAGAUGAAACACAAAGUUUAAGAGAUUCAGUGAAUUUAAUGUAAAGUGGCUUCUCCGACAAGUCCUUUAAGAAAUAAUGGAAUUUUCACAGAAGUAUACAAGCUAUUGAAAUUGGGUCAAAAAUGCCAAGCUGUAGAAAUAAGAACUGCUUGAGAAAAUCAGUAGCAGCUUGAAUGAAAACUCUUAUC